GAUGAACGCUGGCGGCGUGCCUAAUACAUGCAAGUCGAGCGAAGCGGGGACGGGUGAGUCACACGUGGAUAACCUCCUAUAAGACUGGGAUACCUUCGGUCAACCGGAGCUCAACCUGAUCCUUAUAGUUGGAUCCGCGCUGCAUUAGCUAGUUGGUAAGGUAACGGCUUACCAAGGCAACGAUGCAUAGCCGACCUGAGAGGGUGAUCGGCCACACGGGAACGGAGACACGGUCCAGACUCCUACGGGAGGCAGCAGUAGGGAAUCUUCCGCAAGGGGCUAAAGCCUGACGGAGCAACGCCGCGUGAGUGAUGAAGGUCUUCGGAUCGUAAAACUCUGUUAUUAGGGAAGCGGUACCUAAUCAGAAAGCCACGGCUAACUACGUGCCAGCAGCCGCGGUAAUAC
rnacentral:rRNA from 1 species